rnacentral:rRNA from 1 species
CCUACGGGAGGCAGCAGUAGGGAAUAUUGGGCAAUGGAGGCAACUCUGACCCAGCCAUGCCGCGUGAACGAAGAAGGCGCUAUGCGCCGUAAAGUUCUUUUAGAGGGGGCGAAAACACUUGAUUCAUCAAGUACUGACGGUACCUUCGGAAUAAGCACCGGCUAACUCUGUGCCAGCAGCCGCGGUAAUACAGAGGGUGCAAGCGUUAUCCGGAAUCACUGGGUUUAAAGGGUGCGUAGGCGGGAUUAUAAGUCAGAGGUGAAAUCUCGUCGCUUAACGACGGAAUUGCCUUUGAUACUGUUUUUCUUGAAAUUUGUUGAGGUUGGCGGAAUGAGACAUGUAGCGGUGAAAUGCUUAGAUAUGUCUUAGAACACCGAUUGCGAAGGCAGCUGACUGGACAAUAUUUGACGCUGAGGCACGAAAGCGUGGGGAUCAAACAGGAUUAGAUACCCUGGUAGUCCACGCCCUAAACGAUGUUACUUGCUGUUNUUUUCGGAAUGNGUGNGAGNGAGNGANAGUAACGACGNGGAGUACGCCGCGAGGUAAGGUAACGUACGAAGAAGUAGUUACGGCGUGAGACGUUGCCGACGGACGACGACGAGGGAGGAGG